rnacentral:rRNA from 1 species
AAGAAACCAACUGGGAUUGCCUUAGUAACGGCGAGUGAAGCGGCAAAAGCUCAAAUUUGAAAUCUGGUACCUUUGGUGCCCGAGUUGUAAUUUGGAGAGUACCACUUUGGGACUGUACUUUGCCUAUGUUCCUUGGAACAGGACGUCAUGGAGGGUGAGAAUCCCGUGUGGCGAGGGUGUCAGUUCUUUGUAAAGGGUGCUCGAAGAGUCGAGUUGUUUGGGAAUGCAGCUCUAAGUGGGUGGUAAAUUCCAUCUAAAGCUAAAUACAGGCGAGAGACCGAUAGCGAACAAGUACAGUGAUGGAAAGAUGAAAAGAACUUUGAAAAGAGAGUGAAAAAGUACGUGAAAUUGUUGAAAGGGAAGGGCAUUUGAUCAGACAUGGUGUUUUGCGCCCCUUGCCUCUCGUGGGCUUGGGACUCUCGCAGCUCACUGGGCCAGCAUCGGUUUUGGCGGCCGGAAAAAACCUAGGGAAUGUGGCUCUGCGCCUCGGUGUAGAGUGUUAUAGCCCUGGGGAAUACGGCCA